CCGCAAAACUUGGAAUAUCCUUCCUGUCAAGGGGGGAUAUUACACUUGUUUUCUCUCCUUGAAACACAAAAACAAAACAUGUACCCUCUUACAUCAAUGUUACAUACAUAAUUUGAGCAUAAGUUCUUGAUUGUCCAUUCCUUUCUUUUUCAGUCUUUCACUCCGUCCGUUUUAUCACUGGAACACCUUAGUCUGAAAGCGUUCUGCGUUCACUGCUUCGCUGGGCUCCGGGUGCUCGAAAGGGCAGUUUCUUCGUGAACCAACUUACUUCGCAAGUGUGGGUCCGGAGGUGAGGUUCCACGUGGUUCCCUCAGUCCACCCAGGUCCCCUAGUGUAGCUAGGGGAGUGGAAUGCAAGAGGCUGUGAAAGUGGCUAGGGCAGUGGA